rfam:Crassostrea gigas strain 05x7-T-G4-1.051#20 contig8626, whole genome shotgun sequence.
GCUGGGAGUUGUGGCGUGCUCCUGUAAUCCAGCUACCUGGAGGCUUGAGUUGGUGGACAGUUUGAGGCCGGGGGCCCUGUCCAUCGGUGUUCUAUGUCGAUCGGGCGUCCGCACUAAGCUCAGCAUCAAUAUGGUGGGCUCAGGGGAACCUAGGCUCACCAGGUUGUCUAAGGAGGGACGUACCGGUCCAGGGUGGAAACACAGCAGACAAAAGUUCCCGUGUUGAGCAGUAGUGGGAUCGCGCCCGUGAAUAGGCGCCGGUGGGUAGCCCGUCCAAUAUAGCGGGACCCAAUUCUUU